rnacentral:rRNA from 1 species
GAUGAACGCUGGCGGCGCGCCUAAUACAUGCAAGUCGAGCGAACAGAUGAGGAGCUUGCUCCUCUGACGUUAGCGGCGGACGGGUGAGUAACACGUGGAUAACCUACCUAUAAGACUGGGAUAACUUCGGGAAACCGGAGCUAAUACCGGAUAAUAUAUUGAACCGAAUGGUCCAAUAGUGAAAGACGGUUUUGCUGUCACUUAUAGAUGGAUCCGAGCCGCAUGAGCUAGUUGGUAAGGUAGCGGCAUACCAAGGCAAGGAGGCGUAGCGGACCUGAGAGGGUGAACGGGCACACUGGAAGUGAGACACGGUCGAGACUCCGACGGUGAGCAGCAGUAGGGAAUCUUACGCGAUGGAGGAAAGCCUGACGGAGCAACGCCGCGUGAGUGAUGAAGGUCUUCGGAUCGUAGAACUCUGUUAUUAGGGAAGAACAAAUGUGUAAGUAACUAUGCACGUCUUGACGGUACCUAAUAAGAAAGCCACGGCUAACUACGUG